rnacentral:rRNA from 1 species
ACGCUCGACACCUACGGGUGGCAGCAGUGGGGAAUAUUGCACAAUGGGGGAAACCCUGAUGCAGCGACGCCGCGUGAGCGAAGAAGUAUUUCGGUAUGUAAAGCUCUAUCAGCAGGGAAGAAACUGACGGUACCUGACUAAGAAGCACCGGCUAAAUACGUGCCAGCAGCCACGGUAAUCUGAGCGGGCUGGCAAGGC